UACAGAGGUCUCAAGCGUUGUUCGGAUUUACUGGGCGUAAAGGGCGCGUAGGCGGCCACCGCAAGUCAGUUGUGAAAUCUCUGGGCUUAACCCAGAAAGGUCAACUGAUACUGCGGGGCUAGAGUGCAGAAGGGGCAACUGGAAUUCUCGGUGUAGCGGUGAAAUGCGUAGAUAUCCGAAAGAACACCGGUGGCGAAGGCGGCCUGCUGGGCUACUGCUGACACUGAUGCGCGACAGCGUGGGGAGCAAACAGG
rnacentral:rRNA from 1 species